UACGUAGGGUGCGAGCGUUGUCCGGAAUUAUUGGGCGUAAAGAGCUCGUAGGCGGUGUGUCGCGUCGGCCGUGAAAACCUGCAGCUUAACUGUGGGCUUGCGGUCGAUACGGGCAUCACUGGAGUUCGGCAGGGGAGACUGGAAUUCCUGGUGUAGCGGUGAAAUGCGCAGAUAUCAGGAGGAACACCAAUAGCGAAGGCAGCUCGCUGGGACGGUACUGACGCUAAGGCGCGAAAGCGUGGUGAGCGAACAGG
rnacentral:rRNA from 1 species